AGGGGUGGCAGAGUGGACGAAUGCGGUGGACUUGAAAUCCAUUGGUCCCCGCAAGGGGGCUCGCGGGUUCGAAUCCCGCCCCCUCCG
rnacentral:tRNA from 1 species